AGCACCCAGACAAAGGCUGGAGGACAUUAAGCAUCCCUUUCAUGGAGGCAGCAGCCCCUCCAUGGAUGGCAGGUCCUGCCUCUCACCUAACUUUCCUCCUGGAGAGCCUGCUUCCCUCCUGGCAGCCUGCCCAGGCACUGCCACAGCUCAGGGAUGAGAGACAGAACAUUCAGAGUUGGAAGGGACCCACCAGGAUCAUCCAGUCCAGGUUUCUGGCACCCACCAUCCCCACUGUGCCCCCGUGCCACCCAUGUGUCACCGUCCCACGUGCCGCUUGCCCGAGACACGCUCGCAACAACUGGUCUGUGCCCUUUCGCCUCUGAAAACAAAGCUGUGGGUGAUGGUGAGAAGCAGUGAGAUGGAGGGAAGGAAUGCAGGACUUCGACUUGCCUCUCGCUGUCUCUCUGGCUGCUGGGUCGAACUGUUUGCUCAGCCAGCCCUGGGAUGGUGCAAACCAGCCCGGCUGCCAAUUGACGUCAGAGGAGCGCUGGUGGUUUGCGCGAGCUCAGGGACUGCCUCUGCUCAAGAGGGUGAGGAUUUGUGGCCCUGAAACUGUCCAGAAAUGAGGAGCAGAGCUCCAGCUGGAGUGAAUGGCAUUCCCAUACUUGAGAGAGGAGGGACUGCUUGCAUGGAGCCCACAGACUCAGUGCCUUUUGCAGGACUGGAGGAGGAUGUGCCGGGAAAAGCCCCAUGUCUCUGGAAAAUGGAGAAGCAAGAGAAUGACUGAAACCUGGGUGGAGCAAGUGAGGAAAGUAUUUUAAAUAUUAAGUGGAGAUGCAACUCUUGUAAAUUCAGGAGUGAAGACUUGCCAGCUGAGAUCCUAGAAUUUCCUUUUGUGGAAUCUGGAAACAGUAACCUUAAACAAAUACAUAUGGAUAUAUGAGUACAGCACAUAAACUGCCCUUCCCCAUAACCCAGUCCAAUCAGGUUGCAAAAUUUAAUUCCUCUGGUGACAGCAAAAUCUGUCAGCAAGAAGCCUGGCUGGCUGGGUCCCCACCUGAUGCAGUCCAGGAGACUUGGACGAGUCAGAAGGACCCUAUGAACAAAUAUACUAAUUUUCAUGUUCCUGACCUAGCAAUACCUUGGAUCAUGAAAACCCAAAGUGUUUAGGGUACCUGAUUUAUGGUGGUUUAUUUUCUGUACUGCUUCACUGUUUCUCAGCAUGUCAGCAGCAAAAUGGGAUGGGAGGCUUUUGUUUUUCCCUCAGCUCCCCUUAGUUCCCCAUGUGUGAU